rnacentral:ncRNA from 1 species
GAAAGCCGUAUGAGGGAAAACCUCACGUACGGUUUGAUGAGGAGGGGCUGAAAUAUCAGCCUUUCACUCUAC